AUGAACCGUUAUAACCGGCGAUUUCCGAAUGGGGAAACCCAGUGUGAUUCGUCACACUAUCAUUAACUGAAUCCAUAGGUUAAUGAGGCGAACCGGGGGAACUGAAACAUCUAAGUACCCCGAGGAAAAGAAAUCAACCGAGAUUCCCCCAGUAGCGGCGAGCGAACGGGGAGGAGCCCAGAGCCUGAAUCAGCAUGUGUGUUAGUGGAAGCGUCUGGAAAGGCGCGCGAUACAGGGUGACAGCCCCGUACACAAAAGCGCAUGUGCUGUGAGCUCGAUGAGUAGGGCGGGACACGUGGUAUCCUGUCUGAAUAUGGGGGGACCAUCCUCCAAGGCUAAAUACUCCUGACUGACCGAUAGUGAACCAGUACCGUGAGGGAAAGGCGAAAAGAACCCCGGCGAGGGGAGUGAAAAAGAACCUGAAACCGUGUACGUACAAGCAGUGGGAGCACAGGUUUACCUGUGUGACUGCGUACCUUUUGUAUAAUGGGUCAGCGACUUAUAUUCUGUAGCAAG
rnacentral:rRNA from 1 species